AACACUACAAAAAAAGAGGUGAAUUAAAUCACUUAAAUUGUAUCAGAAAAUUAAAUGAUUCUGUUUUAAAUUACUUAUCUACAAAUGAGACAAAUAUAUAUUAUUUAGCAUCAAUUAUAAUAAGUAAUGUCACUUUUAAUUUAUUUUGCAUCAAUUCAAUAUAAGUGAUAUGCUUUUUAUUCAUUUGUAUCAAUUUAACACAAAUGAUAUUAUUAUAUGUAACUGUAUCAGUUAAAUAAUUGAUACGUUUACUUAUUUUGUUUAACAUCACUUAUAUAUUUGAUACAAAACUGACAUCACUAUAAAAAUGAUAUUAAUAAAAAUUAUGUAAUUAUAUAUUAUUCUAACAUCUAUUUAAUAAAAAUGAUGUUAUUUAUUUUAUUUAUCAUUUAAAUAUUUGCUGUAAUAAUUUUUUUAAAUAGCUAAAAUUUCAACAAAAAAAAAAGAAUACGAUGUAGUUAAGAUUUUGUAGCUUUAAUAUUUGUUUGUGGCUCUAAUUUAGUUGUACUUUAUUCUUAACAGUUUUUUCUUAUCCAAAAGCAUAUUCUUUUUUCUAUACCCAUUUCGUCUCUCUCGUGCUUAAACUUCUUUUACAGUUAUAUUGUUAUUAGAUACAAAUAUUCUACAAACAAUCAAACUUUUUUUUCUCAAUGAGUAAGGAUGAGUGGAUGACGUCCCAUUAGCAAGCCAUUGGUGGCAUGAAGAAUUUUCCCUUAUAUGAGAGGAUGAUUAUGUUUCUUCGUUUGCAUGAUUUGAAAGAAAACUAAGGUUUGCUAAUUCAACGAACUUGAUGGAAAAAUUCUAAAAAGAUUAUACUGGAAACAUAUGUCGAGAGAAAGGGUUCUGAUGGUUUGAUUAUGUAAUCUGACAUUGAUUUCAGCAGAAGCGUGAGGUGUUGGAGGAGGAAAUUAAUUUUGGUCAGGUGUAAAUGUAUUCUUCGGGAAAAUGACUGAUCAAUGAUCAUAAAUGCCCAGAAGUAUAUGAGAAGAUGGAAGUCUACAAGAAGAAGAAUAAAAGAUAAUUUUGGUUGAAGAACUAUCGUUGAAAUUUUUUUAAUUGUUGUUCAAUCUUUUUUUUUCCUUUCACUUCAUUUUUAGAGCUUCUAUGAAUAUAUUUAUUUAUUUUUCUUUCUUUGUAUUCACUUUUCAAUAGAAAAAAUAUUAAUAUAAAAUAUUUAUUUUGGAAAUAAA